rnacentral:lncRNA from 1 species
CAGGGAGCUUAUAGAACCUUGGGAACCAGGAACCCUUUAGGACCCUGUGAACUACAAGUCUGCUAUUUUAGGAAGUGGAUAAAAUGGCAUUUUGACAGAUCUGGAGGGUCUUGGAUCUACCUUUCAACAUUGGCAUUACUGAUAUUAGAGUACCACCACUCACUAGCUGUGGAGAUGUAGGAAGAUUACUUAACCACUCAGAGCCUUGGUUUCCUCAUUUGUUAUGUGAAGAUGACAAUAUCAGAUGACAGUGAGAUCUGAGAUGAAUUUAACUGCCUUCAGUAGUGCUGGCCUGCUCCUGAGAGAGAGAUGAUUGAGAGGGAGGAAGUAGAGAGGAGGAAGAAGCCUUUACUCACACUCCUUGAGGAGUGAUUCAGGUGGACAGCCUGAAUUACGGGAUUUAUUGGCAGCAAGUAAGUAUUGUCUGAGUGGAUUACUGCAAAAUGCUUUAGCUGGGGAUGGCUUUGAAAACCACUCAUCAAUUACAGAUGGUACCCAGUAUAGCAGCAGGAGUACCCUUGCGGGCUUUUGUUAUCUCCGACCUCUUCCUUCAUGGGUGACCGUUCUAACCCAAAGACCUCAACUGUUCAUCAAAAACCUGCCACUCAGAACUGCAUAUCAAUUAUUAAACAAUGUCCCAUGCAGGACAGUGACUUUAAAUUAUCUUGGAAAUGAUAAAGACCAACAUUUGUCUUUGUUAACAUGCUGAGUGAUUCUGUGGUCUCUAGUCACAGGUGAAAGGAUCAGAUUUGAGAUUUCUAGACACCAGAAUCACAUUAGGGUUAAGCAAAACUCCAUCUUUUCCCAGAGAAAAUUUAGCCAGAAAUGUUGCUUAUUUGAGAUGAGAAGUAAGAUGAAGUGUUCUAACAUGGCGGAGCUUGAUAUGCAAAUGAGCCCAUCUAGGGACAGUAGGGAUUGGUAAUGUGGGUCUGUGGAUGCCUGGAAGGCUCACAGAAAGACUUCAGGAAUUCCUGAGUCUCUUCAAAGUGUAAGCAAAAUUUUGUGUGUAUUUUCUUAUUUGCAUGA